rnacentral:rRNA from 1 species
UACGGGGGGGGCAAGCGUUGUUCGGAAUUACUGGGCGUAAAGGGCUCGUAGGCGGCCAACUAAGUCGGAUGUGAAAUCCCCAGGCUUAACUUGGGAACUGCAUCCGAUACUGGAUGGCUUGAAUCCGGGAGAGGGAUGCGGAAUUCCAGGUGUAGCGGUGAAAUGCGUAGAUAUCAGGAGGAACACCAAUUGCGAAGGCAGCUCGCUGGGACGUGACUGACGCUGAGACGCGAAAGCGUGGGGAGCAAACAGG